AUUGAACGCUGGCGGAAUGCUUUACGCAUGCAAGUCGAACGGCAGCACGGACUUCGGUCUGGUGGCGAGUGGCGAACGGGUGAGUAAUGUAUCGGAACGUGCCCAGUCGUGGGGGAUAACGUAGUGAAAAUUACGCUAAUACCGCAUACGAUCUAUGGAUGAAAGCAGGGGAUCGCAAGACCUCGCGCGAUUGGAGCGGCCGAUAUCAGAUUAGGUAGUUGGUGGGGUAAAGGCCCACCAAGCCAACGAUCUGUAGCUGGUCUGAGAGGACGACCAGCCACACUGGAGCUGAGACACGGUCCAGACUCCUACGGGAGGCAGAAGUGGGGAAUUUUGGACAAUGGGCGAAAGCCUGAUCCAGCCAUUCCGCGUGCAGGAUGAAGGCCCUCGGGUUGUAAACUGCUUUUGUACAGAACGAAAAGGUUUCUACUAAUACUAGGAGCUCAUGACGGUACUGUAAGAAUAAGCACCGGCUAACUACGUGCCAGCAGCCGCCGUAA
rnacentral:rRNA from 1 species